GAUAAGCGCUGGCGGCGCACAUAAGACAUGCAAGUCGAACGGAAGUCGUUAUAAAAAGGAUUGAAGAUUUAUCUGAUUGAGAUUUUAUAACAAUGGCUUUAGUGGCGGACUGGUGAGUAACGCGUGAGCAACCUGCCUACUAGAGGGGAAUAACAGUGAGAAAUCAUUGCUAAUACCGCAUAUGCCAUGAACAUCACAUGAUGAAAGUGGGAAAAGAGCAAUCUGCUAGUAGAUGGGCUCGCGUCUGAUUAGAUAGUUGGUGGGGUAACGGCCUACCAAGUCGACGAUCAGUAGCCGGACUGAGAGGUUGAACGGCCACAUUGGGACUGAGAUACGGCCCAGACUCCUACGGGAGGCAGCAGUCGGGAAUAUUGCGCAAUGGAGGAAACUCUGACGCAGUGACGCCGCGUAUAGGAAGAAGGUUUUCGGAUUGUAAACUAUUGUCGUUAGGGAAGAUACAAGACAGUACCUAAGGAGGAGGCUCCGGCUAACUACGUGCCAGCAGCCGCGGUAAUACGUAGGGAGCAAGCGUUAUCCGGAUUUAUUGGGUGUAAAGGGUGCGUAGACGGGAAAGCAAGUUAGUUGUGAAAUCCCUCGGCUUAACUGAGGAACUGCAACUAAAACUGUUUUUCUUGAGUGUUGGAGAGGAAAGUGGAAUUCCUGGU
rnacentral:rRNA from 1 species